rnacentral:rRNA from 1 species
CCCUUAGAUGUUCUGGGCCGCACGCGCGCUACACUGACGGAUUCAACGAGCUUACAACCUUGGCCGAAAGGUCUGGGUAAUCUCCAAAAUCCGUCGUGAUGGGGAUAGAUUAUUGCAAUUAUUAAUCUUCAACGAGGAAUGCCUAGUAAGCGCAAGUCAUCAGCUUGCGUUGAUUACGUCCCUGCCCUUUGUACACACCGCCCGUCGCUCCUACCGAUUGAAUGGUCCGGUGAAGCGUUUGGACUAUGGUUUUCUGAUGGUCCGCCGUUGGAUUACCGUGGGAAGUUCGUUAAACCUUAUCAUUUAGAGGAAGGAGAAGUCGUAAC